rfam:Schistosoma margrebowiei strain Zambia genome assembly, scaffold: SMRZ_scaffold0002193
AUACUGCUGAGGAGCCCAUACUAGGACGAAACGGCCGUCCAGUGU